rnacentral:rRNA from 1 species
AUUGAACGCUGGCGGCAGGCUUAACACAUGCAAGUCGAGCGGGGGAAGGUAGCUUGCUACCGGACCUAGCGGCGGACGGGUGAGUAAUGCUUAGGAAUCUGCCUAUUAGUGGGGGACAACAUCUCGAAAGGGAUGCUAAUACCGCAUACGUCCUACGGGAGAAAGCAGGGGAUCUUCGGACGUUGCGCUAAUAGAUGAGCUUAGGUCGGUUGGGCUAGUUGGUGGGGUAAAGGCCUACCAAGGCGACGAUCUGUAGCGGGUCUGAGAGGAUGAUCCGCCACACUGGGACUGAGACACGGCCCAGACUCCUACGGGAGGCAGCAGUGGGGAAUGUUGGACAAUGGGGGGAACCCUGAUCCAGCCAUGCCGCGUGUGUGAAGAAGGCCUUAUGGUUGUAAAGCACUUUAAGCGAGGAGGAGGCUACUUUAGUUAAUACCUAGAGAUAGUGGACGUUACUCGCAGAAUAAGCACCGGCUAACUCUGUGCCAGCAGCCGCAGUAA